rnacentral:rRNA from 1 species
GUGGGGAAUUUUGGACAAUGGGCGCAAGCCUGAUCCAGCAAUGCCGCGUGAGUGAAGAAGGCCUUCGGGUUGUAAAGCUCUUUUGUCAGGGAAGAAACGGGUGAGGUUAAUACCUUUGCCUAAUGACGGUACCUGAAGAAUAAGCACCGGCUAACUACGUGCCAGCAGCCGCGGUAAUACGUAGGGUGCAAGCGUUAAUCGGAAUUACUGGGCGUAAAGCGUGCGCAGGCGGUUAUGUAAGACAGAUGUGAAAUGCCCGGGCUUAACCUGGGAACUGCAUUUGUGACUGCAUGGCUAGAGUGUGUCAGAGGGGGGUAGAAUUCCACGUGUAGCAGUGAAAUGCGUAGAUAUGUGGAGGAAUACCGAUGGCGAAGGCAGCCCCCUGGGAUAACACUGACGCUCAUGCACGAAAGCGUGGGGAGCAAACAGGAUUAGAUACCCUUGUAGUCC